rnacentral:rRNA from 1 species
GAUGAACGCUCGGCGGGCGGUGCUUAACACAUGCAAGUCGAACGAAGCACCGUUGAUUUGAAGUUCUUCGGAUGAAGAUCUUGGUGACUGAGUGGCGGACGGGUGAGUAACGCGUGGGUAACCUGCCUCAUACAGGGGGAUAACAGUUAGAAAUGACUGCUAAUACCGCAUAAGACCACAGCACCGCAUGGUGCAGGGGCAAAAACUCCGGUGGUAUAAGAUGGACCCGCGUUGGAUUAGCUUGUUGGUGAGGUAACGGCUCACCAAGGCGACGAUCCAUAGCCGGCCUGAGAGGGUGAACGGCCACAUUGGGACUGAGACACGGCCCAG